UACGUAGGGUGCUAGCGUUGUUCGGAAUCAUUGGGCGUAAAGCGCGUGCAGGCUGUUAGUUAAGUCGGAUGUGAAAUCCCUGGGCUCAACCGAGGAAGUGCAUUCGAAACUAUCUAGCUAGAAGAUGGUAGAGGAAGGUGGAAUUCCAAGUGUAGAGGUGAAAUUCGUAGAUAUUUGGAGGAAUACCGGUGGCGAAGGCGGCCUUCUGGGCCAUUCUUGACGCUGAGACGCGAAAGCGUGGGUAGCAAACAGG
rnacentral:rRNA from 1 species